CAAACUGAUGUCUACAGAUGCUAAGGCAGAAGCUGUGCUGAAGAAAUGGGAACAUGGGCGUAUCUCAUACUCAAAAACCAAGUUGAGUCCAACAACUCAAACUGAAAAACAAAAAAGGCAGAUCAGCAAAGUAGAAUCAGGAAUAUUAUUUCCCAAAGCAAUCAAGUAUCAUUUCUCCAUGCUUUAAUAUUCCAGUGGCUGGUGGUUAGAAGAAGAAAUGGGAGACGCAGCUUCUGUAGCAGCACAAGGCUGCAGUGGGACCACAACCCAGUGCAUGUGUUCAAACCACACGGCUGUAUGGAAAGGAGUGUGGGAUUCAUGGGGCCAGAGAGGAUUAGCAAAAGGGAAUCUGACUCCAGAGAGCUGACAUAACACUCUUGGGAGAAAGAAAAGUGCUUCUUACUGCUCCAGGGACUGCUCAGACAUUGAAACAAUUUCCCCUUUCUAGCAAAAUCUGCCUUUAAGCUUUAGCAUAUCUUUAACAUACAUACUGCGGGACCUCAAAGCAUGUUUCAAAGCUGUUUUAUGUUUGCAAGUCUGCAGUACAGAAGAUCUCAAAGACCUCCGCUCAAGAUUUGGAGGGAGUUUCUUCACAUUUGCCUACCAUUAUACUCUUGAAAGCUAGUGACGAGCCAACAUAGAGCAAUUCCAAAACCUCCCUUGUCAGAAUGCAUUAGGGGAUGCAGUUUUUCAAAAGGAUGCUUUUAAGCUAUUGGAAAUUCCACUGCAGAUAGUAGUUAAGUAAUAAGAGGGGAAAAAAGUGUUUUUGUUGGCAUAUCUUAUUUGGGAAUCAAUCAUCAGCCACAGCCACAGGCUCCAAUAAUUUCUUCUAUUGCUAUGGAAACAAAUCCAUUUGCCUAGUUCUAGGAUAGAUUGCAACUGAACCCAACAGCUCCCCUUCCCACCUUGAGAACAGGAACAUUACCUGCCACUUGAGUGAAGCUUAAAGAUCUGAACUCAGCAGAAUUUUGUGAGAAGCCCCUCAGCCAGGGUACAUCACCUGCCUGGUAUCAAGGUCUGCUUACAUCACAGCCAUUGAAAUCACAAUCCCAGCCAUGCAGCAAGUCCAGGAGCUCCACGGCCUGACUCCUCCCACUGUGACAGUGUCCCUACAGCAGGUUCUCAGACUGAUUAUCCUUUGGCCUGAGAUCUGAGAAAAACAUAGAGAGCUUCACCUACUAGAGAGACAUCAAACAGGCAAUAAGAAAACAAGGCUGGACACUGUGCCUAGACCUGUCCACUGGAGUGAUUCCUUCCUCAGCAGGGACAACUGGGCAUUAAUAAAGGCAGUGCUUAAGCAUA